GAUGAACGCUGGCGGCGUGCUUAACACAUGCAAGUCGAACGAUGAAGCCCAGCUUGCUGGGUGGAUUAGUGGCGAACGGGUGAGUAACACGUGAGUAACCUGCCCUUAACUCUGGGAUAAGCCUGGGAAACUGGGUCUAAUACCGGAUAGGAGCGUCCACCGCAUGGUGGGUGUUGGAAAGAUUUAUCGGUUUUGGAUGGACUCGCGGCCUAUCAGCUUGUUGGUGAGGUAAUGGCUCACCAAGGCGACGACGGGUAGCCGGCCUGGGAGGGUGACCGGCCACACUGGGACUGAGACACGGACCAGACUCCUACGGGAGGCAGCAGUGGGGAAUAUUGCACAAUGGGCGCAAGCCUGAUGCAGCGACGCCGCGUGAGGGAUGACGGCCUUCGGGUUGUAAACCUCUUUCAGUAGGGAAGAAGCGAAAGUGACGGUACCUGCAGAAGAAGCACCGGCUAACUACGUG
rnacentral:rRNA from 1 species